rnacentral:rRNA from 1 species
UGGGGAAUAUUGCACAAUGGGCGAAAGCCUGAUGCAGCAACGCCGCGUGAGGGAAGACGGUUUUCGGAUUGUAAACCUCUGUUUUCGGUGACGAACAAAUGACGGUAACCGAGUAGGAAGCCACGGCUAACUACGUGCCAGCAGCCGCGGUAAUACGUAGGGGGCAAGCGUUAUCCGGAUUUACUGGGUGUAAAGGGAGCGUAGACGGCAUGGCAAGUCUGAAGUGAAAUGCGGGGGCUCAACCCCCUGAACUGCUUUGGAAACUGUCAGGCUGGAGUGCAGGAGAGGUAAGUGGAAUUCCUAGUGUAGCGGUGAAAUGCGUAGAUAUUAGGAGGAACACCAGUGGCGAAGGCGGCUUACUGGACUGUAACUGACGUUGAGGCU